rnacentral:rRNA from 1 species
GCUGAGACUAUUAAAGUGGCGCACGGGUGAGUAACGCGUGGGUAAUCUACCUCCGAAUUGGGGAUAACACUGCGAAAGCGGUGCUAAUACCGAAUGAUAUCCCCGAGACCCUGGUCUUGGUGAUCAAAGGUGGCCUCUACAUGUAAGCUACUGUUUGGAGAUGAGCCCGCGUACCAUUAGCUUGUUGGUAGGGUAAUGGCCUACCAAGGCUUCGAUGGUUAGCUGGUCUGAGAGGAUGAUCAGCCACACUGGAACUGACACACGGUCCAGACUCCUACGGGAGGCAGCAGUGAGGAAUUUUGCGCAAUGGGGGAAACCCUGACGCAGCAACGCCGCGUGAGUGAUGAAGGCUUUCGGGUCGUAAAGCUCUGUCAAGUGGGAAGAACCUGUUUCGUGCCAAUACCACGAAGCACUGACGGUACCACUGAAGGAAGCACCGGCUAACUCCGUGCCAGCAGCCGCGGUAAUACGGGGGGUGCUAGCGUUAUUCGGAAUCAUUGGGCGUAAAGGGCGCGUAGGCGGUCGCUAAAGUCAGAUGUGAAAGCCCUCGGCUUAACCGAGGAAGUGCAUUUGAUACUUAGCGACUUGAGUAUGGGACGAGGGAAGCG